rnacentral:rRNA from 1 species
UACGUAGGGGGCUAGCGUUGUCCGGAAUCAUUGGGCGUAAAGCGCGUGUAGGCGGUCCGGUAAGUCCGCUGUGAAAGUCGGGGGCUCAACCCUCGGAUGCCGGUGGAUACUGUCGGGCUUGAGCUUACUAGAGGCAGAUGGAAUUCCGGGUGUAGCGGUGGAAUGCGUAGAGAUCCGGAAGAACACCGGUGGCGAAGGCGGUCUGCUGGGGUAAUGCUGACACUGAUGCGCGACAGCGUGGGGAGCAAACAGG